CUACGGGUCGCAGCAGUGAGGAAUUUUGCGCAAUGGGGGAAACCCUGACGCAGCAACGCCGCGUGAGUGAUGAAGGCCUUCGGGUCGUAAAACUCUGGCAAGUGGGAAGAACCUAUGUAAGGUUAAUACCCUUAUGUACUGACGGUACCACUGAAGGAAGCACCGGCUAACUCCGUGCCAGCAGCCGCGGUAAUACGGAGGGUGCAAGCGUUAUUCGGAAUUAUUGGGCGUAAAGGGCGCGCAGGCGGUUUUGUAAGUCAGAUGUAAAAGCCCGGGGCUUAACCUCGGAAGUGCAUUUGAUACGGCAAGACUUGAGUAUGGGAGGGGGAAGUGGAAUUCCUGGUGUAGAGGUGAAAUUCGUAGAUAUCAGGAGGAACACCAGUGGCGAAGGCGACUUCCUGGACCAAUACUGACGCUGAGGCGCGAAGGCGUGGGGAGCAAACAGGAUUAGAUACCCCAGUAGUC
rnacentral:rRNA from 1 species